AUUGCUUCUCUGCCUUUUGGCUAAGAUCAAGUGUAGUACCUAUUCUUUUCAGUUUAACAUCUGAUACGCCCCUAUCUGGGAGCCAUAUAUUAAAUGGAUUUUUAGAACAGGGAGAUGGAAGAAGAGCUUGCUCUGUCCACUCCACGCAUUGACCUGGUAUUGCAGUACCUCCAGGACCGGUGCACAAAAA
rnacentral:snRNA from 1 species